rnacentral:rRNA from 1 species
AGUGAACGCUGGCGGUGGGCCUAACACAUGCAAGUCGAACGGCAGCACAGUAAGAGUUUGCUCUUACGGGUGGCGCGUGGCGGAGGGGUGCGGAAUACAUCGGCCUCUACUUUUUCGUGGGGGCUAACGAAGGGAAACUUACGCUAAUACAUCAUGCGACCCACGGGUGAAAGCAGUGGAUCUUCGGAGCUUGCGCGAUUGAAUGCGCCGAUGUCGGAUUAGCUGGUUGGCGGGGUAAAGGACCACCACGGCGACGAGGCGUAGAUGGGCUGGGAGGAUGAGAGGCCGCACAGGAACAGAGAAACGGUCCAGACGCCCAGAGGAGGAAGCAGUGGAGAAUAUUGGAAAAUUGCCGAAAGCCUGAUACAGCGAUGCCGCGUGGGUGCAGAAGGCCUGCGGGUUUUAAAGCCCUUUUGUUGGGAAAGAAAAGAAGCAGGUCACUACCCCGCUGUUCUGACGGUACCCAAAGAGUAAGCACCGGCUAACUUCGUG